GCCCCAGUGGCCUAAUGGAUAAGGCACUGGCCUCCUAAGCCAGGCAUUGUGGGUUUGAGUCCCAUCUGGGGUG
rfam:Danio rerio chromosome 21, GRCz11 reference primary assembly.